CAACCCUCGAACCCCUCCGGGCUUGGUGUUGGAGAUCGGCGGGCCCUCCGGGGCGCGCCGGCUCCCAAAUACAGUGGCGGUCUCGCUGUAGCUUCCUCUGCGUAGUAGCACACCUCGCACUGGGAAACAGCGCGGCCACGCCGUUAAACCCCCCACUUCUGAAA
rnacentral:misc_RNA from 1 species